CCUCACCUCUGAUGAAGAAGGAAGUGAAGCUUCUUUCUUCAUUCUCUUCCACCAUAUGAAACCACUCAGGCAACACGCCUGGGCUUGACUGCUUCAAACCCAGACUGUGUGGUCAAAAAUAUUUUUCUGUAUUUUGUAAACUCAAUAUUUCUACCUGUUUUCUUCUUGCUGCUACAUGGAAUAAUGCAUCAAUCGGACCUUUGAAGUUUGUAAGUACAGCAAAGCAUUUAAAGUUACUAAAUGGUGUGGUCUAUUCAUUGCAGGAGGGAUAGAAGGGAAGUGGUGUAAGUAGACUGGAAUGGGAUAUUUGAAAAGUCUAACAGCCUAUUAUUCUCAUACUUCUAUGGACCCUCUCUUGCUGCAGAGUGUGUUUAGCCCCAAGCUUUGGAUCUAGGGAUCCAGCCAAUUCUUUUAUUAAUUAACCCACAUGGGUGAUCUAUAUCUGUUUUUCUCCCCACACUCCGUUCAUCGACUCUUAUAACUGUAUUGUAAAUCUAAGACCUGCCCAAUGGUGUUGCAUUUCUGGGAUUGUGAUACUUCAGAACCCAGGAAUGUAUAUUUGGAAUGUUCUCUCAUGUUUAAAAAACAACAGCAAACCCAGUCCUUCACACAUAUGAACAAUUAGCAUGGGGGAAGGCUAACCUACAACCCUUAUUCCUGAAAUGUUAGCAUUCUGUGGGCAGGGAAUUUUUACUGUGUGGAGGAACCAAAUGUGCAGAACCCAUUCAUUCUCUGAAAUGGUAUCACCCCAGCAGAAAGGUUGUAUGUACCAUGUGCUCUUUCUGAACAUGUAGCUUGACCUUAAGUCUUGCCUUGCCAGGGAAAAGAAACAGGGGCUUGAUUUUCCACAAAUGCAUCUCUUUGAUUUUGAAAUUAUAUGUAUUAUAUUUGCUUUACUUUUAUCAUGGGUCAAACAAUGGAGACUUGUGGGCUAAUAGGAAGAGGCCAAGAAAUCAAAUCCCCCUUUUUGAUAUUAACAAAUGAUGGCAGGCAAGCAGGAUCUUUGAGCAGCAGUCUCCUGGUAUCAACAAGGUCUUGCUCCUUGCAUCUGUACUGUUUUGUCUGUUUCAUUAUACCUUGAAUUGUGCAGGGGAAGGAAGCAGGGGUAAGGGGAUGAAAGCUGUAAGGUGGAUCUUAACAUGAACCUGGGCUUCUCUUUCUCCUAAAACCCAUCCAUGUUGCAACUCAAUCCUAGAAACAUGAUAACUUUCUACAGACCAGAGUGUCUCUAAGUAUGUUCUGUCUUUCUUUCAUUGUGGUCAACCAUAUGACCAAUUUGCCUACUGUACUUAGGGGAGAUGCAUCUAACCCAGGGCUGACUAAGCUGUGGCCCUCUAGAUGUCGUUGGACUACAACUCCCAUCAUCCUUGACCCCGGCUAUGCUGGGUGGGGCUAAUGGAGUCUGACACCUGUUCUAGCCCCAGGAGAGAGAGAGAGAGAGAGAGAGAGAGAGAGAGAGAGAGAGUUUGUGUGAAUGAAUCAGGACUGAACCCCAUCACCCCCUUUAGAAAUUAAAUAGUGCUGUGCGGUAGGAAAGGUGAUUGGGCUGUUUAAAAACUGUGCAGCACAUUCUCUCCUUGCUGUGCAAUCAGGAGGUAUCUUGUUCAAGCCCUGAGGUGCCUACAAUUCACAGCAAACCAAUUCAGCCAAGUGCCAGAAUUUCAGAUUUGCAGCGCAGACCAUGCCAGGUUCCUACAUGUCCCUCUGCAACACUUGGGCCUUCUGACCACAAACAUCCUUUAGUUCGCUUGUAGAGCUGGGAGGGAUUAAAGGAGAUAAGAAUGUAAGAACUGCUGUGCUGGAGAAAUCAAAAGCUCCAUCUAACCCAGCACGCGGUCCCCAGCAGUGGCCAGUCACGAGCCAAUGAGAAGUUCACAAGAGAAGCCUGAUGGAGAAAACCACUCUCUUUCCCACCCCCAUUUAUCCUGAGCAUCUGUUCAUCAGAAGUAUUCAGCCUCUGAGCCUGGACAGUCUAUUCUUAGCUAUUAUGGCUAAUAGCUAUUACUAGACAUAUCCUACAUGAAUCUGUCCAAUCCUUUUAAAAGCCAUCUGUGCUUAUGGCAAUGAAUGCUGCAACUUUGUUGUGUGUUGCGUGGGUGGGGGGGAAAUAUUGCCUUUUGUUUGUCCUGUACCUGCUGCCAAUCCAUAUCACUGGAAGGCUUUGAGUUUUAGCACUUUAAGAGAGACUUUCACUUUUGAGGACGGAGUGGCCAGACUCUAAAUGAGGCCGCACCACAGACUUACAUAAUCACACCUAAUACUUGCCUCUUUAUUUUGAGUUCCUUCCCUAAUCUUUCAUACUGAAAUGGAUUUGCCUUUUGAACUGCUGCAGCGUCCAGAGCUAAUGUUCCUGGUAAGAUUUUUACAGUGGCCACCUCUGCUCCCACACUGCCUCUGCUCUGCUUGAAUAUUUAUGCCACCAGGGGUGCAUUCAGACAUGGGGAAUAUUAUGUUAGUCUUCCUGAUUUUAAUGCCAGUGGUUCUGUCCUGUUCCUUUCACACUGCCCGUACCUGUUGCAUUAUGGGGCUGUGGCUUUCUGACCAACAUAUUGGCAUGUCACACUAAAUUUAAUUCACACCAAAGGACAUCGUUGGACAACAUCCUUACUCCCUCACCCUUUCCACUUCUGUUUCCCCAUGAUUCACCCAUGAAAACAGAAUCAUAUGCUGGUAUACCACAUCAUAUUUCAUUAAUUCACUUCUGAAAUUUUCUGGGUGGAUAGGGUUGCAAGCAGAUUAUUUCUGGAAACAAUUAACACGGAAUGAGUGCUAAGCUUCAACUAUAUUCCACUAUAUUUCCAGCUUUUACAUUGUGUGAAAGCAAAAAUAUAAUACAGAAAUUAUCAGUUAGUAAAACAGAAUAAAUUACCAUGCGAAUGCAGCUGAAGGAUCUUUAAAUGUAUGGUGUGGACAUUGGCAAAUUGGGUGAGGUUUUGCAGGACCCAGGUAAAAGUUGCACAGUUCAGCUUUCUGGGAAUUUAUCAUUCUUUAAAUCAGAGGCUCUGCACACACCAGGCACAUUCAAAGCACACACAGCCAAGAAUUCUGGGAACAGCACUUUACAGACUUACAAUUCCCAGAAUCCUUAGGAAGCUGCAAUUCCCUGGAUUCAUGGCAGGAGGGGAGCUUGAAUGUCCUUUCCAAGUAUGGUGUAUAUGUGGCCAAAGAGGGGCCGAAUAAGAUUUCAGAGGGUUGGGGGGGGGCAUUUCAAUGCUCUGAAAAGCUCCUUCUGUAACAAGCAGACACAGAUCAAAUUUCUAAACCAUGUGAGCUGUUGUGCAAAUUUGCGUAAUUGCAAGAAUUAGCUUUGUUGUUCCCAUAUUUGGACUACCUUGUUGCAAAACAAUGAUUUAUUUAAAAAUCCACCAUAUUGUAUAUUUACAAGGAUUUGCAAUGGUUUAAAGCAGCAACUUCAGCACCCCUGCAUCCUGCACAAGACUUAGCACAUAUUCUGCAAGUAUGAAUGCUAACUAGGCACAUGGGAAACCUAAUGAAGAAUGCUAUUCUGCAGGUCCCUUUGCUUAUUCUGAGUGGCGGGCUUCAACAGGAAAAUCCAGUUACCAUUCUGAAGUUGCACAAGGUUUGGCUUGCAUGUCAGCUUAUUAAUUAUCAAUUUCUCACUGUCAAAUGACCCCCUUUCACACAUGUGCGUUUUGUUCGCAGUUGCAGCACAUAAUGGGUUUUGCUGUUCUGAGGCAGCGUAAGCAGUCAGCUGUCCUCAGACGUGUGGGUUUUGGUGAUGACAAGAUCACCCUGUGAGAAGAAACAGGAGAGGAAGGCAGGCAAAAAGUACCUCCUGCUUCAGUGGAACUGUCCUGUUCCUGUGGGAAAGAGCAGGAGAGUGAGGGAGGCAAGUGAAGACAAAAGAGCCAGCAGAGGGGUAAUCACAGUCUGCUCUCGCUUCAGCUGACUGUCUCCUUUCCCCACAAGACCAUCUCCCAGCAACUGCUCUGUGCAAAGGAAUAUCAGAUGUGGGCUUCUGCUUCAGUGGAACUAGUUGUUUUUUAAGGUGUGUGGUUCUUGGUUUAUCCGUUUUAUUUAUUAAAUCUUCCAAGUCUGAGAGUGGGAUAAAAGCCUAUUAAAUAAAUAAACAAACAAAUAUAGAUUUACACAAUAAAGCAUUAAAACAUCAUGGGAUCGGUUGGUUUGGCUCCUGGACAGGCAUAUAUAGCUUUCACAAGAAUGUAGAUGGUUAGGCACAAGAGAGCUGGAAUAUCACGAGUUCCCUGCAGAUGUCUUAGGAAUACAUAAUUCAUGUUCAUGUAAGUGUGAUUCAUUGAAAGCACUGUGGAAUUGAGGCAUGAAUACCAGAAUUUUUGGAUCAGCAUUCAGAAGUGAAGAGUUUCAGUAUUCAACCAGGCAGGUGUGAGGGUGGAAGGUUCUGAAUUAUGGGAACAAACUAAAAGAAGUAAUAGGAAGAGAGCAGUCUUGACAUGAAAUUGCAAUGGCUUUUGACCAAUGUAUAGUUGAACAAUGGGGUUAGGGAACAAAGUUGCCCAGCAUCUCUUUCCAACCACUGAGACAAGUCCCAAUAAACAUUAUACCCAAAAUGGGACUUUUGAGAAACACGAAGAAAGCAUCAGCAUGUUUGGAAGAACCCCAAAGUUUGCAGAAGCAGAAAAAUACUAAAGAGACAAAAAUCCCACCCCUUCUCCAAACAGCCCAAUACAAACUGAGUAUUCUCAGUAUCCAUGGAAGGACUGUUGGCAUAUCAUAAAAAAGAAAACCACUGGGGAAAUGGAAUGGAAUACCCUGAAAGAAGGUGUGACUAGCUGGCUGGCUUGAACACCCAAAAAAACUCCAUACUGCAACCAUUUGUUCGAGGUCCCAUUAGUAAUUGUUCCUAUAUUGCAGAUGGAGGCUGAGAGAACAGCAACUUGAACAAGGUCACUUCCUGUUGGUAGGAUCCACACUAGCUGAUUUCAGUGGGAUCACAGCAUGUCUAACACAACCCAACUUCAGGUAUUCAGAAUAAGAAGUAGGUAUACCUGUAAUGGUGGCCUGUGGGGAUGAGCAUAGCUAGCUUUGCUCCCUCUUUGCCAUUCCUGUAGCCCUCCAUUAAUUGUAGGGUGAACUUGUGAAUUGUAUUCCUGGAGGCUCCCUAACCAUUUUAGAACCCUAGAAAAUCAGGAUUCUAAAAUGUGCAUAAGUACAGGAUGCACCUUCUAAACUCACGGAGUGGGAAGGAUAUGGUGACUGGGGUGGUGUGGGAGCUAUUGAACUUGUCCCCCCAAGGUUACCCUUCCCCUUGCAUAUUUAACUCCAAUUCAAAACAACUGAAGGUUGUUGUUGUUUUAAGGGAUUCAACCCUAUGUGAGAUUCAAACCAGAUACUUUCUAGCUAUCAGAUCACAGCCCUUAUAGGCUCCUCCAGACAACCUCUUUAUUGAGCAUUCAUCCUGAUUUGCUUGUACAAAGCUUACAUGAAAGUUAGACUAUGUCCAGUCUUUAUUGAGCAUUUGUUCUGAUUUAUUUGUGGGUGGUUAUACAACAAUGAGCAUUCUUCCUGAUUGGCUUGUGUGGUGGCUAUACAUCUUCCUAUUAAUCAUUCAUUGAUCUCACCUUUUUCAAUACCCUAUCCCCUAUCACUUUCCUAACCAUGAAAAGUCAGUUUUGUGUAUGUAUAAUGUGGAUUUGUUGUUCAAGGGCAACAGAGCACUUUAAUCCACUUUAACUGCACAAAGCCAAAUUUACAGAAUGCCCAUCAAUUUCUCCUGCAAAUAUUGACAGUCUGCAUGCAACCUAUUGACAGCUGUCAGGCAUGUCUUCUGAGGAUAAUAUUGAGCUAGACCUGAGCAUAGCUGAACCUUCUUCCUUGACAUGCUCUUCAACCUCAUAACUGAGCAGGGAUCCCUUCAAUCAAAAUCCAGACCCUCCCUGUCCGCUUCCUCAAUCUAAAGCACUGAGCCCCUUGGGUUUGCUGAUUGGAAGGUCAGUGGUUCGAAUCUGUGUGACGGGGUGAGCUCCUGUUGCUCUCUCCCAGCUUCUGCCAACCUAGCAAUUCAAAAGCACACCAGUGCAAGUAGAUAAUAGGUACUGCUGCAGUGGGAAGAUAAAUGGUGUUUCCAUGUGCUCUGGCUUCUGUCAUGGUAUUCUGUUGUGCCAGAAUGUUUAGUCAUGCUGGCCACAUGACCCAGACAAACAGCAGCUCCCUUGGCCUGAAGUGAGAUGAGCGCCACACCCCAUAGUCGCUUUUGACUGGACUUAACUGUCCAGGGGUCCUUUACCUUUACCUUAACCUCUCCUUAGUUUUAGUGUAGAACUCAUUGGCUCUGGCUCCACCUACUGUUAGCCCCCUAUCUUACACCCUUCGAGCCGCUACUGCUGCCUCUCCCCCACAAGGGAGUUUUGAUGCUAAGUGGCGUACUGAACUCCCAUCCUCUAAAAGCACAAGACAAACAUUGUACCAUAUCAGGCCAGGCCCCUUAUGCCUUCAAGCCUUUCCUUCAAUUUGUUGCAAAAUUAAAGAAGUGCCAAAACUAACAUUCCCAACCUUGUAGAAUUGUGGACACAAAAAGUCCAUUAAUCCUGAAGUACUCCAAAAGACAUUAUUUUUAGAAAAUCAUUUUCUUUUCUUUUCUUUUUUUUGUUCCCUUCAUUCCCAGCAGGCAGUGAGAGGAAAGUCUUGUUCAGGCUGAUAGCUUGUGUCAGCUGUAGUGACUCAGGAAGGCACGGAUGUCUGCUAAAUGCUGCAGGGCUUGGGGUUUGCUCCAAGCAGAGGCAGGGACUGUGCAAUGCAGGAGGUGAAUAAAUAAUUCAGGGCUUAAGAAAACAGGAUUUGCCAUGUUCCUCCAGACCAAAGAGCCAUCUAAGCUCAGCAGUCCAUCUCUGACACUGGCAAGCCAGGUACCUGAGGCUGAGCAAAGUAAACAAGCAAGGCUUGAUGGAUGGUGAGAUCUAUCCCUUGUUAGCAGCAUCUGGUAGUCAGAGGCCUCAGAACAUGGUGGUUUUGACUCUGUAUGGCUUCCUGGGAGACCUUCUGCAGGCCACAUGCAAAUGGUGAGUGGAACUACAGGGGGAAGUAGACAGGACAAUGAAUGUGAAGUUUACUUGUGUACAGUAAGCUGGAUUUGCUCACCUCUCUAGCCUCCAUCCAGACAAACAAGAAGCACUGUUAGAGUUCAAGGGCACAUCCCAACAAGGUAAAAAGUUCAAAGAGGGUGCAAAGCAGGGUCAGUGAGGGGUAUGGUCUGGAAAAAAAAUCCAAAGGGCCAGACAGAGAGGCCUGAAGGGCCACAUUUGCACACACACCCAAACUGAGGUUCCUCACCCCUGCUAAAAUGGAGCUUUUUCUAACCAUUUCCUCUAAGGGUUGCUAAUGGAAAGGGUGAUUUGGAGGGUCUCUACAACCUCUUCCCUUGCUGUUCCUUAGUCACUCAUUAAAGAGAGAGAGAACUCCAUUUGGGGCAAAGAUGUAGCUCAGUGGUAGAGUUCAAUUCCCGGCAUCUCCAAGGCAAGGCGGAGAAAGCAGGUCCUCUGCCUGAAAUCCUGAAGCGUCCCACCCAUUAAUGUGCAGACAAGAUUGAGCUAGAUGAGCCCAACAGUCUGAACUGGUAUUAUGCAGCUUCCUGUGCUCCUAUUCAUUUGCCAGUUCUCUCAGGAUGGUGUGGGGAGGCACACUGCACAGGUUCAGAGGCACUCUCAUUUUUAAAAGUUGGCAGGCCUAUUGCUAUCUUGGAGUGAAUAAAUAGGAGCCGUUUGCAGUUGCUGCCCUCUGAGCCUCCCUUCCGUACUGGAUUCUCUAUUCCAAUUUUUCCCUUAAUGUCUUUCAUGAUGGCUUAACUAAUCUUGCAGCCUGCUUUGCUGCACACAGCUUGGAACAAUCGAGCUAAUCGCUUCACUGCUGCACAAGAUAUUUUCCCAAUCUGAUUUCAAAGGAAAUGCUAUUGAUCACUCCUGUCCCGCCAAGACCUCUGGGUGCACUGCUGUACCGGAGAGCUGCUUUGCAUUCUGGAUGGGCUUGUGCUGCACAGAGUCAGCAAGGAGGGAGAAUUAAUCCCACCGUGUGCAGAAAAAGUACUGUGGGUUAGCCUGGGUAAACCACAGAGCCAAAACAGAUCUUAUAUUUGAAGAUAAGUCAUAGCAGGUUGCUUCUUCGCCAGCAUUAGGAGCUCCUGGCUCCCAAUAAUUUACACAACAGAUGUAAACAUAGGGCUAGCUGUCAGUCUUGUUCCUGCCCACCCCUGUGGUUUAGGUAGCCUGUUCCCAUCCCUUUUCCACUCUCCCAGUGCAUUAAGAUACUCAGGUGAGGCUGCAAAAGAGGUGCAUUAUGCAUCCACAAAGGACAGGGUCUUUUCAGUGGUGGUACCCUAAGUUUGAAACACUCUCUUGAAAAAAUAAGUCUGGUGCCAACAUGAUAUACUCUUCAGCUUCAGGUUAAGACAUCUUUAUGUGUGUAGGCUUUCUGAAUUCACCAUAUUGCCUUAGCUGGUUGAAUAUGUUCUUGUUUAUUAUUUCAAAGAUUGUAUUAAUGUUGUUUUGAUUUCCCCCACCACUACACUGUGUUAAUAUUAUGUUAACAUUUUGUUGCUCUUGUGCCUCUUGCAUUUCAGUUCUAAGAUUCUGUGAAUAAACCCUGAAGAAAAGACCUAGCUGGAAGCCUACCCAUGCAGAAGAAGGAAGCCUUAAAUCUACUACUCUGUGACAAAACACUGCAUCCUAAUGUUCUUGUUACAAAUAUGAUUUGAAUGAAGG